rnacentral:rRNA from 1 species
AACGAACGCUGGCGGCGUGCCUAACACAUGCAAGUCGAACGAGAAAGGGGCUUCGGCUCCGAGUAAAGUGGCGCGCGGGUGAGUAACACGUGGGUAACCUGCCUCUAAGAUUGGGAUAACUCGUCGAAAGAUGAGCUAAUACCGAAUAAGACCACAGUUCCCGCGGGAACAGGGGUCAAAGGUAGCCUCUGCUUGCAAGCUAUCACUUAGAGAUGGGCCUGCGCACCAUUAGCUAGUUGGUAGGGUAACGGCCUACCAAGGCAAAGAUGGUUAGCUGGUCUGAGAGGAUGAUCAGCCACACUGGAACUGAGACACGGUCCAGACUCCUACGGGAGGCAGCAGUGGGGAAUAUUGCGCAAUGGGCGAAAGCUUGACGCAGCAACGCCGCGUGAGUGAUGAAGGCCUUCGGGUCGUAAAGCUCUGUCGGGAGGAACGAAUGCUCCUGAGGUUAACAGCCUCGGGAGGUGACGGUACCUUCAAAGGAAGCACCGGCUAACUCUGUG